UGGCAUCACCACACUCCAGAAGAGGCGACCUGGGAGUUGGAGAGCGAGAUGAAAGAGAAGUUUUCAUACCUAAUUGAAACAAAUUUAGGGCACCAAAUUUUCUAAGGUGGAGAGAAUGUAAUCCCCACUCACCAUCGUGCUAAAUUUGUAUAUGAAAAUCCCUAUUUAUUCAGAUCUUAAGGCCACUUGAACUAAUUUAAAUUUAUCUUAUAGUUUAAAUUCGUGAUUUUAAUUUUAUUCUAAUUUUUAUUUUUUUAUUUAUAAUUAUUAUCAUUAUUUUAAUUUGUCAUAUUUUUUAUUAAAAUAAUUUUCAGGAGAAAAAAGGGGAAAAAGGGUGAAAUCCCACGAAAACACGACCGCGGGAAAAGGCCUCCCGCGCGGGCAUCUCACAUUGUGCGCGCGCGGCUAUCGUUGGACAUGCACACUGUUCGCACGUCUCAUUUGCCCUGUGCGCGCACCAUUAGCACAGUAUGUCUGCACAUAGCGUCUUGCAUGUUGUAGGCCCUGCGCACGCAUAGGCUAGCCCUUUGUGCAGCAGGAUAGGCGAACGCUUGUAGGCCAAGCCUACAACACGCGACGGACUUGAGGAG
rnacentral:lncRNA from 1 species